UCUGACCAGGCGUGUUCAGUGUUCAUUAAAAAUGUUGUGUAUUAAUAUAUUUUAAUAGGUUUUAAAUUGCAAGUGAUGGUUAUUCUCACGAUGGUCUUCGAAGUCCUAGUUGUAACCAUAGCUUUUAUAUUUUAGGUUUACAUGGUAUAAGAAGCUGGAUCGCUUACAGGCUCAUGGAGAAGGUUGCGGAUGGAGAACAUGGGGCAGGAAUGUUUACAGAUUUUGGACCUUUAAAAUAGUGUUCCUCAACUGCCGAGCCGAGAAGUUCGUGAUGAAUCGAAUUUACUGGAUUUGAUCAAAAGUGUCCAGCAUCCACCCAUGUAACUUAAUACAAAUAUAGGCCCUUCCCUGUGCCUAAUGCAUCAAAUUUCCUUGCAUGUAAUACUUUAUGUAAUUUGUCAAAUAAACUUACUUUUUUC